GCCCAGGCGCCACGCGCCAAAGCAAAACCUUAGUCCUAUACAUAGAUAAAACCCUAGAAGAAAUGAACUCGGAGAGGAGCAGCAGGGAUAGAUCGUUUUGUUAUAUUCCCUGGGAUCUCUUCAAGCCUAGCAUCUCUUGUCCCACCACCGUCUCUCUUAUUCGACCAUCUCCAUUCAUGAUCUCUCCCACCCUUCGAAUCUUCCUACGGCUCCUCGUUGUCACAAAGACGCUGUUCCACUUGUCUGGCUUCUAGGGUUGAUCAUUCUGUUAAGCUAUACAGAUUUCCUGGUCUUGAUAAAAAUUUUGAUCGGAAGGGAACUGGGAAAUAUCAAUCUCUAGAUGAUGAAAUGCCUUGUAGCAGUGUAUUUUUAGGUUGGCUUCAUUAGCAUCAUCCUUAAGUGGACUAUGAAGUCUUGUUCAACCUUGUCUGGCCAUGGUAUUGGUUCACAACUGAGUAAACGCGGAGCUUUUUCCCAUAAUGAAGAGAUGGGUUUGUCGGUUUUUUCUAAUCCCUUCUGGUUUAUCUUUAAUACUAAAGAGAUAAUUCCCUCAUGUUCAUAUAUAUUGCAUAAAUAUUCAUUGUUGUCCACACUAUUGGACAUUUUCUGUUGACUACUCUGUGUUUAAAGCUGCUUCGCUUCGUCUCAUAUUAUACACUAUUUGUCAUGUAAAUUUAUGUGGUAGUUGUACAGGUAGGUUUCCAUGAAACUGGGAGAGGCCCUAGGGUUCCCCAAAUAACUGUUUAUUUUGGUUUCCUGAUGGCUUUGUUUAAUGAGAAUGGAAGUGUAUUUUGAAGUCCAUGCAAGAAUGAUAACGACACAAUACUUUCAUGUCUAUUCAAUAUCUGGGCAAAUAACAGUUGGGUUUGGUCAUUUGUUUUCAACAUGUUUAAAUGAUUGUUUGAUAUAAUUUCUUCAGUCUUAAUUCAAUAUAAACUGAUCUGGAAUAAGUUGAGUGAAUUUAGUGGUCCAUGCUUGCUUUGUGUCUCUUGUGCUUUUGGCUAAUUUCUUAAUUAUAUUUUUGCCCUAUUUAUUGCCAAGUUUCAUUGCUUAGAUGAGCCAGAGCGGUCUUACUGUUGUCUAGAGAUAGGGUUUUUUGAGAACUUAUUUUCUCUGAGAUUUGAAAUGGUUUGACCAGACAUUGUCCCAUUUAAUAAGGUAUACAAAUCUUUCCAAAAGUGGACAUGGUUUUCAUGUUUAUACUUAGCUCUAGGAGGGGAAAAGGUGGAGGCACCAGAAUACACAGUCUGUUCUUUAUUUCUUGGUUUACAGACUAUACGAGCAUGGUGUGACAGAAAAACCUUCUUCAUUGUCCGAAAUCUGUUGUUGGCACAUUCUUGCGAUGUGACAAAGUCUAUGAAGAUGACAUUUUGACAUGUUAUAGGAUUUUGAAUUAUGUGAUUGUUUACUUCCUUUCAAUGGUGGAAUGUGUUGUGCUGACCUUAUUGUUGUACUUCUUUAUGUUUUUGUGAUGUUGUAACAUGUCUAAAAACUGAACUAGACUUGGUUCAGGAACAGUUCAGGUAAAGUUGUCCAAAGUAGAACCAUUAAUAUUCAUUUAGCAUAACCUCUGCUGUGUAUAUUGCCGAGAUAUGCUGGCCACAAUCUGAAUAUCAUAGAAAUGAUAUGAAAAUACUGGUUUUAAUUUAUAACUGAUGUAAGCUUUUGACCUAUGAUUUUGUUUCUGUUGUCUUGUAUCAACUUCCUUGCCUUGUAAAUUACAAAAUUCUGGUUUUAUCUUAAUUCAGCAGCAUGAUGAAUAUAUGAUUUUAGUUUAUAUUGAAUCUCAUAAAUCAGAGGUCUUCAAAGUUCUCUGAGCUCUUUCCAUGUCAUGUACAUAAUUAUUUUUGUUUUUAUUUGUUAUUAUUGUUAUUGUUAAGUGUCAUGUGCAAGAGAGAGGGGAAAGGAAGCGAAGAGAAGGGUGGAGGAAAAUAAAUGAAUUAAAUUUAUUGUAUAUGGUGGUCUGGACCUGAAGCCAAGGCAAGUAUUGGUAUUAUAUAGUAAAGAUUAAGGCAAGAAAUGUUUUAUUUGAAGAAGAGAGGCAUGGGAAGGUGUGUAUUGGGAUGCAGUGGCACAAUGAUGAAAAGGAGAUCCAUCGGAUGCCCUUGAUGCCUAUAGAAUUGCUUGGCUUUUUUUUAGUGAAGGGCUCUACCUAAGAUACUCACUGAAUACAGAACUCCAUUGAGCAAGAUGUCCAAAGAAGAGAUCUGUGCAGGUAUUUUGCUUUUGUUCAAAAAAGUUAUUAGUUUGGUUUUGAUUUUUCAUGGCAUGGUUAAUUGGUGAUGAAGUCAAUACAUCCUGGUUUCUUGUUAGUGCUUUCACGUCUGUACUGUAUCAUUUUAUUGCUCACUGGCUCACUGCUAUUUCUGAAAUAACACCUACUGCAAUGAGCAUUUUUGGUGAAUAUGAAAUUUCUAGUUCAAAUUUAAUUUAUUAUCUUGUUGAAAAAUUGACAUGUAUUUGUUGGGGGAAUGUGUAUGUAUAUACUACAUAAUGAGCAAAGGGAGUAGUGUUUUUAAUCAAUGAAUACAAGUGUUUGUUUUUGUAUUUUUAAUUUUAUGUCUACUUGUUUGAUUCUAUGCAAGCAAAGCAAGAUGAUGAGAUAAUACUUCUGAACUGUUAAUGGUGAAGAAACGCAUAUUACAAGUUUAUAAUUGCCUUCAAAGUUCUCUGAUUGCUUUGUUAGGUCAAGGGUCACUAAAUGUAACGGGUAAGUUUCUGACUUAGUGACCAAAAGAUUACUAAGUUGAGUGCUUUAUUUUAUUUCUUCUUUUUGUCUUUUCUUGUGUCCAUAUUGUUGCCUUUUUUUGUUUCUGAUGCCAACCAAAGUAGACUUGUGCAAAAUGAUGAUAUAAUAUAUCUGAACCAUAAGCUGAAGCAUUCAAAAAAUAAGUGCCUUUAAAGUUCUCUGAUUGCCUUGUUAUAUUAUUGAUCUGUAUAUGUGACAACAAAGUUUCAUCUGUGAUCAGUAUAAAAGAUGAGCAGGUUAUUAUUUUAUUGAGGGCUUUGUUUUAUGAUUUUUCUUUCUCUUUUCAUGUGCCGUUAUGGUUGCAUUCUUUUCCACAAAGCAAAUAAGAGUAGGCUGAUUCUAUGAUUGCAAAGCAAAAUGAUGAGACUAUAUAUCUGAGCCAUCAGUGCUGAAAUGCAUAGCAUAAUUGCCUUCAAAGUUUUCUGAUUGCUUUGUAAUAUAUAUGGUCAGUGUGUGACACGAAAGCAUAAAGUUUCAACUGUGUUGAGCAUAAAACGAAGGCAGGCUAACAAAUUUUGUUUUUUGAUUAGUAGGUUUACAAAUUUGUUUGAGUGCGUUUUAUGUUCGUAUCCUCUUGGUUGCUUUCUUUUCUUUAAAAGCAAUUACAGAACUGCAGCAAUCACAGCAGACUGAUUCUAUAAUGGCAAGGAAAAAUGAUGGGCUAAUAUGCUUUUAAUGCUGAAGCACAUAAGAUAAUUGCCUUAAUGGUCAGUAAAGUGACAUUGAUGUUUCAACUGUGUUGAGCAUAAAAUAAAACAGUUUUAAAUAUUUUUUGAUUGAUCUAUUUUAUGCUUCUUUUUGCUUUCUCGUUUGCCCUUAUGAUUGCUUUCUUUUUCAUAAAACCAAGGAAAACUUCGAUGUAAUGUUGUUAUAAACAGAUAAUCAUAAACAAUCUUCGAUUGUUCUUUUAUCUGUGAUGAUAUAUAACCUUAUUAGAAAUUUAGAGGGAGAUAGUGAGUAGUUAUGCAGUCACUGACCAUGUAUGUUAUGGAGACAAGAUUGAACUUGUGACUUGUGAGCUGCUGAGCUGCUGCUAUACACAGUAUACUGAUUCCAUGACAGCAAAGCAAAAUGAUGAGCUAACUUAUCUGAGCUAUUAGUGCUGAAGCAUUUAACGUAAUUGCCUUAAAAGUUUUCCGAUUGCUUUGUUGUAUCAAUGUUCAGUAUGCGCGACAUCAGCCUUUGUGUCCUUGUGGUCACUUUCUUUUUCAUCAAUCUGCUACCCCCAUAGGCAUGGUUCAAAGUUCCAUUUUCUCGAUACGUAUGUUGCGUAUUGGAUGUUUGUAAUGGACAUAAUACUGAUUUAAAAAAAUUAAUUAGGUUUCGAGAAUCGUGUCGGGACAUCUAAAAGCAGGAGUAUUAGACUUGAUUUUUCUUCUAUUUGUAUGUGGAUAUUGUCAUUUACGGGGUGAUAUUCAUGUAGGGCUGUAGUGUUUUAAGAAUAUGAGAUCCUAACUUUUAUAGAACCUUAUUUGAAAUUGGUGUCAGAAGGUAAAAAUGGUUUAAUGUCUAUGGUAGUCACAUAACUGUUCUUCGCGGAUAACUCUCUUGGCAUAUAUUUAUUUUUUAAUGCAAUUGAAUGGCGUCUGCAUCUUCUGCAAUUUUUCUUAUGAUUCUUGCACUGAGAUGGAGAAGGUUUCACUCAAGCUGCCUUCAGUUGCUGUCCUCUUUCUUAUUGCAUCUGGUUAAUCUCUCUCUCUCUCUCCAUCUCGCUCUCUUUGAAAAACACACGUACACCAGGCACAUUGCAUUUGAUCUAGAUAUAUAUUAGUUGAGUUGUAAAGUUUUUAAAAAUCAUGCAUGCAUGCAUGUAACUGUUUGGCGUAGGGCUGGCGUUAUCGACGACGACUGAAGCAAUGUUUAACCUGCAAGUCCUCCGAGCGUAGAGUUGUGAUGGUCAUGACUGAAAAGGCCCAGCACGCAACCGAAGCAUUUUCGGUACUAGCGUUUUGCCACACAGACAAGGGCUGCAAGAGCAGGUGCCCGCCAAAUUGCCCCAUUGUGAAUCAUGUUAACCGUCAGUGCUUCUGUGAGUAUUAAUUCAAGAUUUAUGGUCGGUUUGAAAAUUGAAGCUCCCCCGAUCUCUCUGUUGAAUGAGGCUACUUCUUUCAAUGUCGUCUUUUGGUCUUUCAUAGAAAUGGGUUAAUGAAUAAUGAUAUCUGGUUCUAUGUUUCAUGGAUUUCGUGGAGUUUUAUUGCUAAAUGCUAAUGUGCGAAUGCAAAUUAUGACA